rnacentral:rRNA from 1 species
ACCUGACUGCUAUCGGAUUGAUACUAAGCCAUGCGAGUCAUUGUAGCAAUACAAGGCAUACGGCUCAGUAACGCGUAGUCAACCUAACCUAUGGACGGGAGUAACCUCGGGAAACUGAGAAUAAUGCCCGAUAGAACACUAUACCUGGAAUGGUUUGUGUUCCAAAUGAUUUAUCGCCAUAGGAUGGGACUGCGGCCUAUCAGUUUGUUGGUGAGGUAAUGGCCCACCAAGACUAUUACAGGUACGGGCUCUGAGAGGAGUAGCCCGGAGAUGGGUACUGAGACACGGACCCAGGCCCUAUGGGGCGCAGCAGGCGAGAAAACUUUGCAAUGUGCGAGAGCACGACAAGGUUAAUCCGAGUGAUUUGUGCUAAACGAAUCUUUUGUUAGUCCUAGAAACACUAACGAAUAAGGGGUGGGCAAGUUCUGGUGUCAGCCGCCGCGGUAAAACCAGCACCUCAAGUGGUCAGGAUGAUUAUUGGGCCUAAAGCAUCCGUAGCCGGCUCUGUAAGUUUUCGGUUAAAUCUGUACGCUUAACGUACAGGCUGCCGGGAAUACUGCAAAGCUAGGGAGUGGGAGAGGUAGACGGUACUCGGUAGGAAGUGGUAAAAUGCUUUGAUCUAUCGAUGACCACCUGUGGCGAAGGCGGUCUACCAGAACACGUCCGACGGUGAGGGAUGAAAGCUGGGGGAGCAAACCGGAUUAGAUACCCGGGUAGUCCCAGCUGUAAACUAUGCAAACUCAGUGAUGCAUUGGCUUGUGGCCAAUGCAGUGCUGCAGGGAAGCCGUUAAGUUUGCCGCCUGGGAAGUACGUACGCAAGUAUGAAACUUAAAGGAAUUGGCGGGGGAGCACCACAAGGGGUGAAGCCUGCGGUUC